rnacentral:rRNA from 1 species
GACGAACGCUGGCGGCGUGCCUAAUACAUGCAAGUUGAGCGCUGAAGGUUGGUACUUGUACCAACUGGAUGAGCAGCGAACGGGUGAGUAACGCGUGGGGAAUCUGCCUUUGAGCGGGGGACAACAUUUGGAAACGAAUGCUAAUACCGCAUAAAAACUUUAAACACAAGUUUUAAGUUUGAAAGAUGCAAUUGCAUCACUCAAAGAUGAUCCCGCGUUGUAUUAGCUAGUUGGUGAGGUAAAGGCUCACCAAGGCGAUGAUGCAUAGCCGACCUGAGAGGGUGACCGGCCACAUGGGGACUGGGAUACGGCCGCGACGCCUAAGGGAGGAAGCAGUGGGGAAUAUUGCACAAUGGGCGGAAGCCUGAUGCAGAAAGGCCGCGGGCGGGAUGACGGCCUUCGGGUUGUAACCAGCGUGCGCCUGUGACGAAGCGUGAGUGACGGUCAUGGGUAAAGAAGCGCCGGCUAACUACUUG